rnacentral:rRNA from 1 species
CUGUGAAGGUGAACCGUGAGGUUUGCUGGAGGUAUCGGAAGUGAGAAUGCUGACAUGAGUAGCGACAAACAGGGUGAGAGACCCUGUCGCCGAAAGACCAAGGGUUCCUGCGUAAAGCUAAUCUGCGCAGGGUUAGCCGGCCCCUAAGGCAAGGCCGAAAGGCGUAGUCGAUGGGAACCACGUUAAUAUUCGUGGGCCAAGGGAUGAGUGACGGAUUUCGAAAGUUGUAUUCCCUUAUUGGAUUGGGAAUGCAGCCUGGAAGUUCCUGGAAAUAGCCUCCCUAUUAGACCGUACCCGAAACCGACACAGGUGGUCAGGUA